rnacentral:rRNA from 1 species
AUGUGUGAGCCAUUGAGGAUUUCUGAUAGUCUUUACAUUAUAAUGUUUUUGGUGCAGACCAUCGAUUUUACUAAGUCUUCGUCUGUUACUUUUUGCAAAUUUCAGCAUGAAUAUGCAUUCGAACUUGUUCUCAGUUAUGCAUAUAUUCAUUUUCUUAGAUGUGCAGUAUGCAAUCAUGUUCUUUUCUUGCGAUGCUUUUGGCCUGUUAAUCUUUCAUUUGAAGGAGAAUCACCAAGCGGAAUUGAGACUAUUAUCAAAAAUCCUCAUUUUGUAGAAGGGUUAAGCAAUUGGUCCGGACAAAAUGUAAUAUCUGCAGGCAUGAGUUAA